rnacentral:rRNA from 1 species
UACGUAGGGACCAAGCGUUGUCCGGAAUCAUUGGGCGUAAAGAGCGUGUAGGCGGCUUGUCGCGUCUGCCGUGAAAGUCCGGGGCUCAACUCCGGAUCUGCGGUGGGUACGGGCAGACUAGAGUGAUGUAGGGGAGACUGGAAUUCCUGGUGUAGCGGUGAAAUGCGCAGAUAUCAGGAGGAACACCGAUGGCGAAGGCAGGUCUCUGGGCAUUAACUGACGCUGAGGAGCGAAAGCAUGGGGAGCGAACAGG